rnacentral:lncRNA from 1 species
UCCCUCCCUCUCCUUGUGCAAUAUCUCAGAGAUUGAAGCAUCUGUUUAGGAUGUGGGAGAUGCACAAGCCUUGCCUGGAGGGGUUUUGACCUAAUUGUCAGCAUCAGCCCCAAAUCACUGAGAAAGCACUUACCAGCCUGGGAUGGGUAGCAGGAGGUGGUGAAAGCAAUACGUUUUUAAAAGAGAUUCUUCGGUGCUUACUUGCAUCACUUGCACAGCAAGUGUAUGCUCAGCCUGGAUCUCUCUGCGCUGCACGUGCAAAGUCUGAUCCACACAAAAGGGGAUUCCGGUUACGUUGUUACAUGUUCUGGCAGAAUUGUUGAUUUGUGAUAUUGAUCUUGAUAAAGAAAGAUUAAAUAUUUAUUUCACAUCCUUUUUCUUUUA